rnacentral:rRNA from 1 species
UACGAAGGGUGCAAACGUUGCUCGGAAUUAUUGGGCGUAAAGCGCACGUAGGCGGCUUUGCAAGUCGGAUGUGAAAUCCCUCGGCUCAACCAAGGAAGUGCAUCCGAAACUGCAGAGCUUGAGUACCAAAGAGGAUCGCGGAAUUCCCGGUGUAGAGGUGAAAUUCGUAGAUAUCGGGAGGAACACCAGUGGCGAAGGCGGCGAUCUGGGUCGAUACUGACGCUGAGGUGCGAAAGCGUGGGGAGCAAACAGG